GCUCGUGCUCCUGCUUGCUGGUGCGCCUGAUUGCUCAGGUGCGGGGCUCAUCAGGCGCUCACCCGGCGCCUACCCUGCGUCACCCGGUGCCUCAAUAAAGGGCUUUGUGUGCGCGCGGGGCGCAGAUCCAGCCUGCCUAAUGGGAGUCACUUCGCCCCAGUGGGUGACAGUCAUUGUCCCACGCCCACUCUCGAGGAUCCAGCGACAGCUCCGUGUUCCUGUUCAUGUAGGCACCUCUUAGGGUCCCAAGCAAACCGUGGCACUAUGCGGGAGGGUUUUGCUAGAGUUGUCCCUUGCUAACACCAGGACAUUCCCUGUGUCCCUCCGUCGAGCCUAAAUGACGUCAUAAAGCAAAGAGGCUAUCAUAUGUGUAUGUUUCACGGGUUAUGAGAACUAAAGACUAGGCCUGAGAGCUUCUAGCCCGAGGUGUUUGGUUCAGCAUGGCAAGCAAGGCUCUGGCAUUGGAGGAGAAGCAGUCUAGUAACCUGAGAUAGGCUCCGGAAAAACCGGCGUCCCUGUGCCCAGCAAGGCAGUUCCCAACACGACUCAAUCUUCUGAAGUUCGGAUUGUGAGCCAUAUACAGCUCAGGCCAGGCUCAAGCUUGCUGUGUGGCUGAGGAUGUUCUUGAAGUGCCAAUCCUCCUGCCUCCACCUCCCAAGCUAUAAGAUUAAAGGCAUGGGCCACCAUGUCUGACUGCUUUUUUCAAAAUGUGGUCUCACUCUGGCCCUGGCCAAACUGGAAUUCUCUGUGUAGCCCAGGUUUGCCUCAAUUUCAGUGCAAUCCUCCUUUCGCAGACUUCCGAGUACUAGGGUUACACACGAGUGAGAGUCACGACCCCCUGCUCUGCUCUCGUGUUUCUUACCCAACAGCUAUACAGAACAGAGAGUAGAUACCCAACAGCGACCACGGAGGCAGUGAUGAAAGAGAGCCAGCAGGUUUUCAUACCUUAAUGUAACACAGCCAUAACUGAUUGCUUCGGUUUCUUUUUCUCUUGAGGCAGGGUCUUACC